rnacentral:lncRNA from 1 species
UCUCUUUAUGCGGUCUCUAUGGGUCUCGUAUUGGGCUCUAUGGGCCGGUCUCUAGGGUUUCUAGAUGGUCUCUAUGUGUUUCUAUGGGGUCUCUCUGUGUCCCCAUAGGCUCCAUAGUCCCCUACAGGCCUCUAUUCUUGUUGCUAGGCAACGCCACGGACAGUCCCGCCCCCAAUUCCGUGGUGUUUCGGCUGGCCCCCCCACGGUCCGUGCCCCGCCCGCACGACGCAGCGCCCCGUGCGUUUGCUAUGGCGACAUGACGGCCUGUUUCCAUGGCAACGUCACCGUCAGCGUCGGCGGCCUGACCCUAUGGCGGGAGGUUCGUGGCUGCGUCCGUGACCCCGACUGCACCCAGGUGACGCGUGGGGACGGCGCCGUGGGGCUGAGGGGCUCCUGCUGUUAUGGCGACUUCUGUAACCGGGAUCUGAGCAACAAAACCUUCUUCGCCCCCAAUUUACCCCGAUUGGAGCUGCUGCCCCAUAACCUGCCCCAUAACCUGCCCCAUAACCUGCCCCAUAACCACACCGGGCUGCCCCACGGAGGGUCCAAGAUGGCGGCCGAUGGAUCCAAGAUGGCGUCCAAUGGGUCCAACAUGGCGUCCAAUGGGUCCAAGAUGGCGGCCGAUGGAUCCAAGAUGGCCGCCGAUGGAUCCAAGAUGGCCGCCGAUGGAUCCAAGAUGGCCGCCGACGCUGGCUCCAAGAUGGCUGCCAAUGGAUCCAACAUGGCGGCGCCCGGAGGAUCCAAGAUGGCCGCCGAUGGAUCCAAGAUGGCGGCCAAUGGAUCCAAGAUGGCGGCCGAUGGAUCCAAGAUGGCCGCCGAUGGAUCUAAGAUGGCGGCCGAUGGAUCUAAGAUGGCGGGCGAUGGAUCCAAGAUGGCGUCCAAUGGGUCCAACAUGGCGGCCAAUGGAUCCAACAUGGCGGCCCCCAAUGAUUCCAACAUGGCGGCCCCCACGGAAUCCAAGAUGGCCGCCGACAGCAACGGCAGCACCAAUGGGAAGAGGAGCGGGGCCAAGAUGGCCGCCCACGUGACCCCUGCCGGCCCCAAGAUGGCCGCCGUCGACCCCCAGGGAUCACAUCCGGGGUCAGGGAGCCCCGAGGGCUCAUGGGAGCGGAAGUCCCUAGCGGAUGGGGGCGGGGCUAUGAGGGGGGUGGGGGGGUGGGUGUGGGUCCUCCUAUUAUUGCCCCUCUUAUAA